rnacentral:rRNA from 1 species
GCAAAUAUCCUUUGAUCCGGAGAUGUCUGAAUGGGGGAACCCACCUACUUUAAGGUAGGUAUUGCAACAUGAAUACAUAGUGUUGCAAGGCGAACGAGGGGAAGUGAAACAUCUCAGUACCCUUAGGAAAAGAAAUCAAUUGAGAUUCCCUCAGUAGCGGCGAGCGAACGGGGAUCAGCCCAUUAAGUUAUGUGUGUUUUAGUGGAACGCUCUGGGAAGUGCGAACGUAGAGGGUGAUAUUCCCGUACACGAAAGGGCACACAUAAUGAUGACGAGUAGGGCGAGGCACGUGAAACCUUGUCUGAAUAUGGGGGGACCAUCCUCCAAGGCUAAAUACUCCUGACUGACCGAUAGUGAACCAGUACCGUGAGGGAAAGGCGAAAAGAACCCCUGUGAGGGGAGUGAAAUAGAUCCUGAAACCGCAUGCAUACAAGCAGUGGGAGCACCUUCGUGGUGUGACUGCGUACCUUUUGUAUAAUGGGUCAGCGACUUAUAUUCAGUAGCGAGGUUAACCGUAUAGGGGAGCCGUAGAGAAAUCGAGUCUUAAUAGGGCGUUUAGUUGCUGGGUAUAGACCCGAAACCAGGCGAUCUAUCCAUGAGCAGGUUGAAGGUUGGGUAACACUAACUGGAGGACCGAACCCACUGUCGUUGAAAAGCCAGGGGAUGACUUGUGGAUAGGGGUGAAAGGCUAAUCAAGCCUGGUGAUAGCUGGUUCUCCCCGAAAGCUAUUUAGGUAGCGCCUCGGACGAAUACCAUAGGGGGUAGAGCACUGUUUCGGCUAGGGGGUCAUCCCGACUUACCAAACCGAUGCAAACUCCGAAUACCUAUGAGUACUAUCCGGGAGACAGACUGCGGGUGCUAACGUCCGUAGUCAAGAGGAAAACAAUCCAGACCGCCAGCUAAGGCCCCAAAAUCAUAGUUAAGUGGGAAACGAUGUGGGAAGGCAUAGACAGCUAGGAGGUUGGCUUAGAAGCAGCCACCCUUUAAAGAAAGCGUAAUAGCUCACUAGUCGAGUCGGCCUGCGCGGAAGAUGUAACGGGGCUAAAACUAUGUGCCGAAGCUGCGGAUGUAUACUUUGUAUACGUGGUAGGGGAGCGUUCUGUAAGCCGAUGAAGGUGUGUUGAGAAGCAUGCUGGAGGUAUCAGAAGUGCGAAUGCUGACGUGAGUAACGACAAAACGGGUGAAAAACCCGUUCGCCGAAAGACCAAGGGUUCCAGUCCAACGUUAAUCGGGGCUGGGUGAGUCGACCCCUAAGGCGAGGCCGAAAGGCGUAGUCGAUGGGAAAAUGGUUAAUAUUCCAUUACUUCUGUGUAAUGCGAUGAGAGGACGGAGAAGGCUAAAUCAGCCUGGCGUUGGUUGUCCAGGUGAAAGGAUGUAGGCAUGUAUCUUAGGCAAAUCCGGGGUACUCUAUGCUGAGAUCUGAUAGCAAGCUGUACUUGUACAGCGAAGUGGUUGAUGCCAUGCUUCCAGGAAAAGUCUCUAAGCUUCAGUUACACAGGAAUCGUACCCGAAACCGACACAGGUGGUCAGGUCGAGUAGACCAAGGCGCUUGAGAGAACUCUGCUGAAGGAACUAGGCAAAAUGGUACCGUAACUUCGGGAGAAGGUACGCUGUUGUUGGUGAUGGAACUCGCUUCCUGAGCUGACGACAGCCGCAGAAACCAGGCCGCUGCAACUGUUUAUUAAAAACAUAGCACUCUGCAAACACGAAAGUGGACGUAUAGGGUGUGAUGCCUGCCCGGUGCUGGAAGGUUAAUUGAUGGGGUUAGCGUAAGCGAAGCUCUUGAUCGAAGCCCCAGUAAACGGCGGCCGUAACUAUAACGGUCCUAAGGUAGCGAAAUUCCUUGUCGGGUAAGUUCCGACCUGCACGAAUGGCAUAAUGAUGGCGGCGCUGUCUCCAGCAGAGGCUCAGUGAAAUCGAAAUCGCUGUGAAGAUGCAGUGUACCCGCGGCUAGACGGAAAGACCCCGUGAACCUUUACUGCAGCUUGACACUGAACUUUGACCUUACUUGUGUAGGAUAGGUGGGAGGCUUUGAAGCUGGAACGCUAGUUCCAGUGGAGCCGUCCUUGAAAUACCACCCUGGUAAUGUUGAGGUUCUAACUCUGUCCCGUGAUCCGGGACGAGGACCGUGUCUGGUGGGUAGUUUGACUGGGGCGGUCUCCUCCUAAAGAGUAACGGAGGAGUACGAAGGUGCGCUCAGCGUGGUCGGAAAUCACGCGUAGAGUAUAAAGGCAAAAGCGCGCUUAACUGCGAGACCCACAAGUCGAGCAGGUACGAAAGUAGGUCUUAGUGAUCCGGUGGUUCUGUAUGGAAGGGCCAUCGCUCAACGGAUAAAAGGUACUCUGGGGAUAACAGGCUGAUACCGCCCAAGAGUUCAUAUCGACGGCGGUGUUUGGCACCUCGAUGUCGGCUCAUCUCAUCCUGGGGCUGAAGCAGGUCCCAAGGGUAUGGCUGUUCGCCAUUUAAAGAGGUACGCGAGCUGGGUUUAGAACGUCGUGAGACAGUUCGGUCCCUAUCUACCGUGGGCGCUGGAAAUUUGAGAGGAUCUGCUCCUAGUACGAGAGGACCAGAGUGGACGAACCUCUGGUGUACCGGUUGUGACGCCAGUCGCAUCGCCGGGUAGCUAUGUUCGGAAGGGAUAACCGCUGAAAGCAUCUAAGCGGGAAGCCUACCUCAAGAUAAGAUUUCCCUAGGACUUUAUGUCCUCUAAAGAGCCGUUCGAGACUAGGACGUUGAUAGGUUGGAUGUGGAAGCAUAGUGAUAUGUGAAGCUGACCAAUACUAAUUGCUCGUGAGGCUUGACUA